CAGGGAAUAUUGUGCAAUGAACGAAAGUUUGACACAGCGACACCGCGUGUGGGAUGACGGAUCUAGGUUUGUAAACCACUUUCAGGAGGGAAGAAAAUGACGGUACCUCCACAAGAAGCCCCGGCCAACUACGUGCCAGCAGCCGCGGUAAUACGUAGGGGGCGAGCGUUGUCCGGAUUUAUUGGGCGUAAAGAGCUCGUAGGCGGUUCAACAAGUCGGUCGUGAAAGUUCAGGGCUCAACCCUGAAAUGUCGAUCGAUACUGUUGUGACUAGGAUACGGCAGAGGUGAGUGGAAUUCCGAGUGUAGCGGUGAAAUGCGUAGAUAUUCGGAGGAACACCAAUUGCGAAGGCAGCUCACUGGACCGCUAUCGACGCUGAGGAGCGAAAGCUAGGGGAGCAAACAGGAUUAGAUACCCUGGUAGUCCUAGCUGUAAACGAUGGAUACUAGACGUAGGAACUGGAUUGACGGUUUCUGUGUCGUAGCUAACGCGUUAAGUUCCCGCCU
rnacentral:rRNA from 1 species